rnacentral:rRNA from 1 species
ACUCAAAUGAAUAGACGGGGACCCGCACAAGCGGUGGAGCAUGUGGAUUAAUUCGAUACUAACCGAAGAACCUUACCCAGGUUUGACAUCGAUCGAAAGCCUAAGAGAUUAGGCCCUGAACCACAAGUUCACGUGAAGACAGAUGUUGCAUGGCUGUCGUCAGCUCGUGCCGUGAGGUGUACGGUUAAGUCCGCCAACGAGCGCAACCCUCGUCUUGUGUUACCAGCGAGUAAUGUCGGGGACUCACAAGAGACCGCCGGUGUAAGCCGGAGGAAGGUGAGGAUGACGUCAAGUCAGCAUGGCUCUUACGCCUGGGGCUUCACACAUGCUACAAUGGGCGCAACAAAGGGCAGCGAUAUCGCGAGAUGGAGCAAAUCCCAAAAAUACGCCCUCAGUUCAGAUUGUAGUCUGCAACUCGACUACAUGAAGGCGGAAUCGCUAGUAAACGCAGGUCAGAUAUACUGCGUUGAAUACGUUCCCGGGUCUUGCACACACCGCCCGU